rnacentral:lncRNA from 13 species
AUGCCACAACAAUGUAAAGAAGACCAAUCUGGCACCAAGACAGAGGUGUAUUAUGAAAAAUAUUUUCUUCCUUGGAAAUGGAACAUCACAGCCUUAAUUCAGAACAACCACAUGGAAUCAACUGUGCCUGUAAAUAGCACGGUGAUCCCAUUUCAGGCUGGGGUGGCGGGUGUGGAUAUACAUCCUCAUCUAGGCUUCAUCUCAAUAGGAUCAUCUCCAGACUGUGUUCAGGCAGCUCUACCUCAUACCGAUGGCUCUUCCUCACAGCAUUCACCUCAACACCAGCUUCUUCAAUGAUGGUAGGGUUUCCCAAUAGUGAGGGAACAAAAGCACAACCAUACCUUCAAUCAAGCAAGGUAUCUAGUUAUAUCUCAAACAGAAUGGAGGCACACAGAGCAGCAACAUUAGUAAAUAUAUUUAUAUUACAUAACGUACACAAGAAUCCCCAAGUGUAAAUUCACAGCCACCGAUAAAUGAAAUGAUACCAUGCAGAAAAGCACACCAUCAUUUUACGACUGAUCUAUCAUAGAUCUAAAACUGAGAUUAAACUGUGGUGGUGUUUCCCCAAAUGAGUCACUCUCAGUCAGAUACAGUGCCUUGCGAAAGUAUUCGGCCCCCUUGAACUUUGCGACCUUUUGCCACAUUUCAGGCUUCAAACAUAAAGAUAUAAAACUGUAUUUUUUUGUGAAGAAUCAACAACAAGUGGGACACAAACAUGAAGUGGAACGACAUUUAUUGGAUAUUUCAAACUUUUUUAACAAAUCAAAAACUGAAAAAUUGGGCAUCUUUAAAAUCUUUCUUCACUAUUUCAUAGUCCUAGUUAAAGUAUUUUGUUUUACUUUAGAAGGUGCCUAUUCUGCUUAAUGGACCCUGUAUCAUCUGAUGUGUCUCCAGUAUGAUUAUGUAUACACAUGGUUUUAUCAAGGCUUCAUGCCCAAAAUGCAGUAAGCUCCACUGAAAAAUGGAGGGUGGUACAUCUUGUCACGUUCUGGCCUUUAUUUCCGUUGUUUUGUAUUUAUUUAGUAUGGUCAGGGCGUGAGUUGGGUGGGCAGUCUAUGUUUGUUUUUCUAUGUUUUGGGGCAUUUCUAUGUUUUCGGCCUAGUAUGGUUCUCAAUCAGAGGCAGGUGUCAUUAGUUGUCUCUGAUUGAGAAUCAUACUUAGGUAGCCUGGGUUGCACUGUUUGUUUGUGGGUGAUUGUCUAUGUUAGUGGCUUGUGUCAGCACAGGUCUCAUGUUGUAGCUUCACGGUCGUAUUUGGGUUAUUGUUUUUGUUAUUCUUUUGUAUAGUGUUCAGUCUUUCUUUAUUAAAGAUUCACCAUGGACACUUACCACGCUGCGUAUUGGUCCUCAGAUCCAUCUCGCAUCUCCUCUUCAGAUGAAGAGGAGGACGGCCGUGACAGAAUCACCCACCAACCAAGGACCAAGCGGCGUGGUAGAAAACAGCGACGACAGCAGCAGCAGCAGCAGCAACAACAGCGGCCGGUAUCACAGGACUCCUGGACAUGGGAGGAGAUACUGAACGGAGAGGGACCCUGGGCACAGGCUGGGGAAUAUCGCCGCCCCAAAGCAGAGCUGGAGGCAGC